UACGAAGGGGGCUAGCGUUGCUCGGAAUCACUGGGCGUAAAGGGCGCGUAGGCGGCAGAUCAAGUCAGGGGUGAAAUCCGGCAGCUCAACUGUCGAAGUGCCUUUGAUACUGAUUUGCUCGAGGGAGAUAGGGGUCUGUGGAACUUCUGGUGGAGCGGUGAAAUGCGUUGAUAUCAGAAGGAACGCCGGUGGCGAAAGCGACGGACUGGAUCUCUUCUGACGCUGAGGCGCGAAAGCUAGGGGAGCAAACGGG
rnacentral:rRNA from 1 species